GGAAGAAUGGCGAAAGCAGACGCGGGCUGCAUAGUGUGGCCUGCCGUCCCCGGCGCGGAAACGGGGCGGCGUGCAGGUGCGAAUCCUGCUUCUUCCACCA
rnacentral:tRNA from 1 species